rnacentral:tRNA from 1 species
GGUCCGGUAGCUCAGUGGCAGAGCAGUGAAUGCACUGACAAGAUCAGACAGCACUCACGGCCGGCAGUUCGAUUCUGCUCCGGAUCACCA